rnacentral:rRNA from 1 species
AUUGAACGCUGGCGGCAGGCCUAACACAUGCAAGUCGAACGCGUGGCGGACGGGUGAGUAAUGUCUGGGAAACUGCCUGAUGGAGGGGGAUAACUACUGGAAACGGUAGCUAAUACCGCAUACCAUCAGAUGUGCCCAGAUGGGUUUAGCUAGUUGGUGGGGUAACGGCGCCCCAAGGCGACGAUCCCUAGCUGGUCUGAGAGGAGGACCAGCCACACGGGAACUUGGACACGGCCAAGACUCCUACGGGAGGCAGCAGUGGGGAAUAAUGCACAAUGGGCGCAAGCCUGAUGCAGCCAGGCCGCUUGUAUGAAGAAGGCCUUCGGGUUGUAAAGUACUUUCAGUGGGGAGGCGUUACCCGCAGAAGAAGCACCGGCUAACUCCGUGCCAGCAGCCGCGGUAAUAC